UACGUAGGUGGCAAGCGUUAUCCGGAUUUACUGGGUGUAAAGGGCGUGUAGGCGGGGACGCAAGUCAGAUGUGAAAACCACGGGCUCAACCUGUGGCCUGCAUUUGAAACUGUGUUUCUUGAGUACUGGAGAGGCAGACGGAAUUCCUAGUGUGGCGGUGAAAUGCGUAGAUAUUAGGAGGAACACCAGUGGCGAAGGCGGUCUGCUGGACAGCAACUGACGCUGAGGCGCGAAAGCGUGGGGAGCAAACAGG
rnacentral:rRNA from 1 species